UGCAGUCGUACGAGAACACUCUAGCUUGCUAGGGUAAGUAAAGUGGCGCACGGGUGAGUAACGCGUGGGUAAUCUACCUUCGAAUUGGGGAUAACGUUGCGAAAGCGACGCUAAUACCGAAUAACAUCCAUUAAUCUUCGGGUUUUUGGAUCAAGGGUGGCCUCUACAUGUAAGCUACUGUUUGAAGAUAAGCCCGCGUACCAUUAGCUAGUUGGCAGGGUAAUGGCCUACCAAGGCAACGAUGGUUAGCUGGUCUGAGAGGAUGAUCAGCCACACUGGAACUGACACACGGUCCAGACUCCUACGGGAGGCAGCAGUGAGGAAUUUUGCGCAAUGGGGGAAACCCUGACGCAGCAACGCCGCGUGAGUGAUGAAGGCUUUCGGGUCGUAAAGCUCUGUCAAGUGGGAAGAAAUUGUAUUAUACGAAUAGUGUAAUAUAUUGACGGUACCAUUGAAGGAAGCACCGGCUAACUCCGUG
rnacentral:rRNA from 1 species